GUGACGUUAGCUCAGUUGGCAGAGCUUUGGAUUGUGAUUCCAAGGGCCACCGGUUCGAAUCCGGUACCUCACCCCA
rnacentral:tRNA from 1 species